rnacentral:rRNA from 1 species
AGAGUUCGAUCCUGGCUCAGGACUAACGCUGGCGGUGCGCCUAACACAUGCAAGUCGUACGAGCCCUUCGGGGCGAGUGGCAGACGGGUGAGUAACGCGUAGGUAAUGUACCUCUUCGCUGGGGAUACCUAUCCGAAAGGAUAGCUAAUACCGAAUGAACUUAUCGAACGGCAUCGUUUGAUUCGUAAACCUCCGGGGCGAAGAGAUCAGCUUGCGUACUAUCAGCUAGUAGGUGGGGUAACGGCCUACCUAGGCUACGACGGUUAGCCGGUCUGAGAGGAUGAUCGGCCACAUUGGAACUGAAACACGGUCCAGACUCCUACGGGAGGCAGCAGUGAGGAAUCUUGCGCAAUGGGCGAAAGCCUGACGCAGCGACACCGCGUGAGGGAUGAAGGUCUUCGGAUUGUAAACCUUUGUCAGUGGGGACGAGAACGGACGGUACCUACUGAGGAAGCAUCGGCUUACUACGUGCCAGCAGCCGCGGUAAUACGUAGGAUGCAAGCGUUGUCCGGAAUUACUGGGCGUAAAGAGCUCGUAGGCGGGAAGGUACGUUUGGAAGUAAAUCUCACGGCUCAACUGUGAGCUCAUUCCAAAUACGGCUUUUCUUGAGGGCAGCAGGGGAGAAUGGAAUUCCCAGUGUAGCGGUGAAAUGCGUAGAUAUUGGGAAGAAUACCGGUGGCGAAGGCGAUUCUCUGGGCUGUGACUGACGCUGAGGAGCGAAAGCGUGGGUAGCGAACGGGAUUAGAUACCCCGGUAGUCCACGCUGUAAACGAUGGAUGCUAGACGUGUGGGGUAUCGACCCCCUGCGUGUCGCAGCUAACGCAUUAAGCAUCCCGCCUGAGGAGUACGGCCGCAAGGUUAAAACUCAAAGGAAUUGACGGGGGCCCGCACAAGUGGUGGAGCAUGUGGUUUAAUUCGACGCUACGCGAAGAACCUUACCUGGGUUUGACAUUCACAGGAAGAGUGCAGAGAUGUAUUCGCCUUCGGGCCUGUGAACAGGUGCUGCAUGGCUGUCGUCAGCUCGUGCCGUGAGGUGUUGGGUUAAGUCCC